rnacentral:rRNA from 1 species
UACGAAGGGGGCUAGCGUUGUUCGGAAUUACUGGGCGUAAAGCGCACGUAGGCGGAUACUUAAGUCAGGGGGUGAAAUCCCGGGGCUCAACCCCGGAACUGCCUUUGAUACUGGGUAUCUCGAGUCCGGAAGAGGUGAGUGGAAUUCCGAGUGUAGAGGUGAAAUUCGUAGAUAUUCGGAGGAACACCAGUGGCGAAGGCGGCUCACUGGUCCGGUACUGACGCUGAGGUGCGAAAGCGUGGGGAGCAAACAGG